rnacentral:snRNA from 1 species
AAGCCUGGUUUCUAUUCAGAAAGAAUAAUUUUUUUGCCUUUUUCUAAAGUUUUCUGUGGAAAGGAACAGUUAUGAACAGUAACCAAAUUUUUUCAGGACUUGCAUAUGCGAGGCU